CCCGCGGGAGAGACCGGGCUUCGAGCCCGGCGCCGAAGGCGCAACCGCCCCGGAAACGCUCAGGCAAAAGGGCCGCUGGG
rnacentral:ncRNA from 1 species